UACAGGGGGUGCAAACGUUGCUCGGAAUCAUUGGGCGUAAAGCGCACGUAGGCGGUCUGUUAUGUCGGAUGUGAAAGCCCGGAGCUCAACUCCGGAACUGCCAUUGAAACUGUUUAGCUUGAGGAUGAGAGAGGUGAGUGGAAUUCCCAGUGUAGAGGUGAAAUUCGUAGAUAUUGGGAAGAACACCGGUGGCGAAGGCGGCUCACUGGCUCAUUACUGACGCUCAGGCGCGAUAGCGUGGGGAUCAAACAGG
rnacentral:rRNA from 1 species